GAUGAACGCUGGCGGCGUGCCUAAUACAUGCAAGUCGAGCGAACAGACGAGGAGCUUGCUCCUCUGACGUUAGCGGCGGACGGGUGAGUAACACGUGGAUAACCUACCUAUAAGACUGGGAUAACUUCGGGAAACCGGAGCUAAUACCGGAUAAUAUAUUGAACCGCAUGGUUCAAUAGUGAAAGAGGGUUUUGCUGUCACUUAUAGAUGGAUCCGCGCCGCAUUAGCUAGUUGGUAAGGUAACGGCUUACCAAGGCAACGAUGCGUAGCCGACCUGAGAGGGUGAUCGGCCACACUGGAACUGAGACACGGUCCAGACUCCUACGGGAGGCAGCAGUAGGGAAUCUUCCGCAAUGGGCGAAAGCUUGACGGAGCAACGCCGCGUGAGUGAUGAAGGUCUUCGGAUCGUAAAACUCUGUUAUUAGGGAAGAACAAAUGUGUAAGUAACUAUGCACGUCUUGACGGUACCUAAUCAGAAAGCCACGGCUAACUACGUG
rnacentral:rRNA from 1 species